CAGUCGCCACGGUAAUGCGAAGGGGGCUAGCGUUGCUCGGAAUGACUGGGCGUAAAGGGCGCGUAGGCGGCGGCCAAAGUCAGGCGUGAAAUUCCCGGGCUCAACCUGGGGGCUGCGUUUGAUACUUGGUUGCUUGAGUGGGGAAGAGGGUCGUGGAAUUCCCAGUGUAGAGGUGAAAUUCGUAGAUAUUGGGAAGAACACCGGUGGCGAAGGCGGCGACCUGGUCCUUUACUGACGCUGAGGCGCGAAAGCGUGGGGAGCAAACAGGAUUAGAUACCCCCGUAGUCCCUGUCCCUUAUAC
rnacentral:rRNA from 1 species